rnacentral:tRNA from 1 species
UAUAUNUNAGUGUAUUAKCACAAAAGUAUUUGAAACUUUUAGAGAUAGAUUAAUAUUCUAUUAAAUAUAA